CGGAAGUCUGCGUGUGACAGUCUGUCGCUGACUUGUUUACACACGAGACUUAUUUAAGUGAUUCAGCGCUCAAAGUUUGUUGUUUCUUCCACGAAGUGCCUUGGAAACAUUGUCUGACUGCAAAGGAAAGUUGGCGCGGGCAAGACAUGAAUGUCAGAGAGAUGUUUGCCAAACCUUCACCAGUUAAGAGAAGCACUCAGGUCUAGAGUCUGGGCUUCAGUUCCGUGUCCAUCAUGACAACAUUUGAAGGCAUGCAUCAGAAGUGUGAGCACUACACCUGAGGAACAGAGGCCAAUAAAGCAGUGGCUGCAGAAAGCUGAAAGUCGCUGAACACUUCAAGGCCGGCCGUGCUCGGGUCCUCGUCCCUGACGGAGGACUCGGUUCUCACCACCUGCACUUUAAUUAGAGAUGAGACCGGCACGCAGAGAGCAGGGCAGGACAAGAGGGAUGCAUGCUUUAUGUAAAAAAAAAAAGCCUGGCUAAUUAGUGCAUCUUAGUGUGCACUUAGGAGUGGG